rnacentral:miRNA from 2 species
UAUGUGCCCUUGGACUACAUUG